AGAGUUGAUCCUGGCUUAGAACGAACGCUGGCGGCGCGUCUUAAGCAUGCAAGUCGAACGGCAAGAGGUAGCAAUACCUCCUAGAGUGGCGGACUGGUGAGUAACACGUGGUGACAUACCCUUCAGAUGGGGAUAGCUAUUAGAAAUAGUAGAUAAUACCGAAUACGAGCACAGGGGUUAGAGAUCUGUGAGGAAAGGAGCUAAGGCUCCGCUGAAGGAAUGGCCUGCGGCCCAUUAGCUAGUUGGUGAGGUAAGAGCCCACCAAGGCGAUGAUGGGUAUCCGGCCUUAGAGGGUGAACGGACACAUUGGGACUGAGAUACGGCCCAGACUCCUACGGGAGGCAGCAGCUAAGAAUAUUCCGCAAUGGACGAAAGUCUGACGGAGCGACACCGCCGUGGAUGAAGAAGGCCGGAAGGUUGUAAAAUCCUUUUGAAACUGAAGAAUAAGCGUUGUAGGGAAUGACAGCGUGGUGACAGUAGGUUUUGAAUAAGCAACGGCUAAUUACGUGCCAGCCGCCGC
rnacentral:rRNA from 1 species